rnacentral:lncRNA from 1 species
CAGCUCUUUUAGAUAUCUCAGAGAUGUCUUGAUGCUCAUCACCAAUUAAGAUGCUGAAGUCAACUCCCCACUGAAGAAGACUGCCAUAAAUCAACACUUUAAGUGAAGGAGGUAGAAAAAGGGACCUUUUACAAAGGAAAACCACCCAGAGCAGAGUGUGACAGAGUGACAGCAGCCAUUUUUUGGUGUUUCCAAAAGUGGGUUUGGGGAGAGUGGAGCUCAGUGCAUCUCCUGGGAAGGAAGCAUUUCAAAGAAAAAAUAUUUUAAGAGGGGCCUAACUUCACUUCCAUGUGAAGUCAGAGCUUGGUGUGAACUGGUGGAGCACACAGGAGGUGAGUAUUCAAGAGCAGUCAGGCAGCAUCU